AUUUAUAUAAUAUAAAUAAAAUUAUAUUUGAUUUCCAAUCAAAAAAUCUAAACUUUAGUAUAAAUA
rnacentral:tRNA from 1 species